UCUGUAGCAAUACAGGGAAAAGUCUAGCGGCGAACGGGUGCUUAACACGUGGGCAACCUGCCGAGAAGUGGGGGAUAGCUCGCCGAAAGGCGAAUUAAUACCGCAUGUGAUCAGAGUGGACAUCCACUCAAGAUUAAAGUCGGGGCAACCUGACGCUUCUUGAGGGGCCCGCGGCCUAUCAGCUAGUUGGUGAGGUAACGGCUCACCAAGGCUUUGACGGGUAGCUGGUCUGAGAGGACGACCAGCCACACUGGGACUGAGACACGGCCCAGACACCUACGGGUGGCAGCAGUCGAGAAUUUUUGACAAUGGGGGAAACCCUGAUCGAGCGACGCCGCGUGGAGGAUGAAGGUCUUCGGAUUGUAAACUCCUGUCAUUGGGGAACAAGGUGCAUACGUUAACUGCGUGUGCAUUGAUAGUACCCGAAGAGGAAGAGACGGCUAACUCUGUGCCAGCAGCCGCGGUAAUACAGAGGUCUCAAGCGUUGUUCGGAUUCAUUGGGCGUAAAGGGUGCGUAGGCGGCGCGGUAAGUCGGGUGUGAAAUCUCGGAGCUUAACUCCGAAACUGCAUUCGAUACUGCCGUGCUUGAGGACUGGAGAGGAGACUGGAAUUCUCGGUGUAGCA
rnacentral:rRNA from 1 species